AGAGUUUGAUCCUGGCUCAGGACGAACGCUGGCGGCGUGCUUAAAACAUGCAAGUCGAACGAAUGAGUUAUUAGCACAAAGCAAUUUCGGUAGAGAUUGUUUUGUGCUGAUAACGAUUUAGUGGCGGACGGGUGAGUAACGCGUGAGCAACCUGCCUACUACAGGGGGAUAACAGUUGGAAACGACUGCUAAUACCGCAUGAGACCACAAGAUGGCAUCAUCAAGGGGUCAAAGGAGAAAUCUGGUAGUAGAGGGGCUUGCGUCUCAUUAGAUAGUUGGUGAGGUAACGGCCCACCAAGUCAACGAUGAGUAGCCGAUCUGAGAGGAUGAACGGCCACAUUGGAACUGAGAAACGGUCCAAACUCCUACGGGAGGCAGCAGUGGGGAAUAUUGGGCAAUGGAGGCAACUCUGACCCAGCAACGCCGCGUGAGUGAAGAAGGUUUUCGGAUUGUAAAGCUCUUUCGGGUGUGACGAUGAUGACGGUAGCACCUAAAGAAGCCCCGGCUAACUUCGUGCCAGCAGCCGCGGUAAUACGAAGGGGGCAAGCGUUGUUCGGAAUUACUGGGCGUAAAGGGAGUGUAGGCGGUUAUGUAAGAUAGUGGUGAAAUCCCAGAGCUUAACUUUGGAAUUGCCAUUAUGACUAUGUGGCUAGAAUUACAGAGAGGAUAGUGGAAUACCCAGUGUAGAGGUGAAAUUCGUAGAUAUUGGGUAGAACACCAGUGGCGAAGGCGACUAUCUGGCUGUAUAUUGACGCUGAGGCUCGAAAGCAUGGGGAUCAAACAGGAUUAGAUACCCUGGUAGUCCAUGCUGUAAACGAUGAGUGCUUGUUGUCGGUAUUGUAUCGGUGACGAAGUUAACGCGUUAAGCACUCCGCCUGGGGAGUACGGUCGCAAGAUUAAAACUCAAAGGAAUUGACGGGGACCC
rnacentral:rRNA from 1 species